AUGACUGUGUUCAUCCGGCUCUCCCACCUGCUGCUAACCAUAGCUCCGUGGACUCACUACCUCAAGACACACCUGGACCACCUGAGAAUGUGGGAGGGCAUGGCAUCAGUCACCCCACUCAGCUUUUCCACCACACCUGUGCUGCUGUGUCUCAGUGACACUUUGCUCCCUCUGUUUGGUCCUGGUCAGUCUCUGCUGGACACCCAGAUGUCCUUGGCAUGUAUACCUCAAUGGAAUCCAGUUCAUCUCCAAUCUGUCAGAAGACAUCAUAGGUGGUUCGGCUCCUUAUGUCCAAAGUCUGCACAAAAAAUAUGUGUUUUGCUGAAAGCAUUGGGGGCUCAGUAUUUGGAUCUCUGUUUAUCUUCAAAAUGAGAGGUUGGACUAAAACAUCAAUAAGCCUAGGUUCAACCCUUAUAGCCCUGAAAAUCUAUGUUCAUCCAGUAAAGGAAGGUAAGAGAAAAACUGUACGUUCAGCAUUAAGAUUCACAAGCAAGAAAACAACUGCUAUAAUAAUUUUGACUAUCUUAAAGUGUCCCAAAGCAUUUAUUAAACCUAAAAUUUAAUAACUACUGGAUUACCAACAGCUAUGAUAUCCUAGAACACUUUGAAAAUUAUAUAUCUACAUCUAUACAGUAUUUAUGUAAUUUAAUAUAUAUGUAUAUACCAUUUUUAAAGUCCCUGAUCUUUCUAGUGUAUGUUCUCAAGUUUUACUGCAGUCUUAGAGCAGCUUGCUAUGAGUCAUGAGCUUAG
rnacentral:lncRNA from 1 species